GUUUGUAUACAAAUCAGUUUGUUUUAACCUUUAAUACUAAAGGGGUCAUAUAAUGCCACUUUUACAAGAUGUAAAAUAAGUCUCUGAUGUGUAUAUGUAAAGUUUUAGCUCAAAAUACCCCACAGAUCAUUUUUUAUAGCAUGUUCAAUUUGUCACUUUUUGAGGGUGAGCAAAAACACUCCAUUUUUGUGUGUGUCCCUUUAAAUGAGCUGCUGCUCCUAAGAAGAGGGCGGAGUUUCAAGAGCUUGUGUUAGCAGCGCCAAAUACCUCACGCAGACUCACUGAAAAUGGUAGAAACUGCUCAGCCUUUUAUGUUCAAACCGGAGUAGGACAAUGAUUGAGCGACUCAAGAAGAAGUGACAACAUGUAGAAUGCAACAGGACGUUUCUGAACGGUUAGUUCAUGAAUUUAUGUAGCUGAUCUGAUUUUUUUUUUCUUGAGAAAAUUUGCAAUAUAGCCUACUGUACCUGAUAUACCGUAUAUCCAAAAUAACUGAUAUCAAAUCGAAUGAAAAGCUUGUGAAUCAAAAUGCAUAACUAUGAUGACAGACUGGCAGGAAAUGGUGCAAAACAGAAAACAAAGUCCAAACAGGGUGAUAUUGUGACAUACUGAUAAGCCUCACCUUUCCAUUAUUGUUAAUAAUACUUGCAACUUGCACUCUUAAAUGUGCAUUGCAAAAUUGCCAGCUGAUAAAAUCUAUGCUCCAGGGACCAUAUUCAUAUAACAUCUAAGGCUAAAUGUAGAUCCUAACUGGCUGAGUUAGAUGGUGAUUGACACUAAACAGUAGAAAAUCAGUCCAAUCUCUUCAGCUGUAAAUGUCAUUGGCUGUUAAAGUCUUGUGUUGCUUAUAAUAAAUUGACAUGUUGAUAACACACACAUAAGCAGUCUUCAGAAUGCUCUCGAUUAGAUGUAGCUUAGAUCAGAUGCAUACGCAUUAGUGAGUGUGGAGGUGCUUAUGGGGUGUCACUCUGGGACGGGUGAGUAUGAGGCUGGGAGGGAAAAUUAACAGUAUACUCACUACAAAAAAACUAGAUGACGCCACUGCUGUAUUGGAUACAGUAUGUGAUGUGUUGGGGGAAUCUGGCUAUUAAAAAUGUAACCUUUAAUUUAAUUCUGCUCAAAUGAACAAAAUUAUUUGAAUGAAGAUUUGUUAAUUUUGCUAAACGAGAUUCAAAGAUCCAAGUCAAUAAAAUGAUACAAUCCAAUACUAGUAUUCACCACAAAAGUCAUGUCGCUUAACAGAUGAGCUUUGCAAAAUAAAUAAUAAACUCAUAAUCUAAUAAUAAACUAAGAAAUCGACAGCUCUAUAAAAAUCACUAAAUGUUUUAACAAAUAUUUACACUUUCUUUUGUGUGUUGUGACAUUCUUAAACUGAUAGAUGAUUAACUUUUUCGAGAUUACAUGAUGGUAGACAAAUGGAAAACAGAUGAUGUCUGCAAAUGGCUCCAAACCAUCAACCUGAUUGAUUCCAAAGAAAUCUUCAGAGGUAUUUAAUGGAGUUCUACAAAUGGCCACUUUAAAUGUACAAUACACAGGUACUUGAAACAUUUGAAACUACUUCAUCAACACCAGUGAGACUUCAAAAUAGUAUGUAGUAUAGUGGGGUGUAAGAGGAGCUACAAGACUGUCCCUAGUUUCAGGAACCACAUCAAUCGAAAACAUACAACUGCCCUCCAUCCAGAAAGAGGCUCUUAUGAAUGUGAAACAAACGAUCAUGACCUCAUAGAGACAGAGAGUUUGCCACACAUCGAUGACAACUGCAUUCCUCAUUUUGACCUGAAAACACUUUUGAGUGGUCUAAAACAUCACAUUGCUCUUUUUACUUUGAAUCUUAAGGAAAAUCAUCACUAACACUUUAUUUUAGUGUCAUUGUUACAUAUAUUACAUGCAGUUACUAUAGUAGUAACUAUAAAUGAUGCUUAAUUACAUGCAAUUAACCCUGAACCAAACCAAACCCUACUCCUAACCCUAUAGUAAUUACAUGUAGUUACUUAAUAUUACUCAGUACUUAAAUGUAUAAUUACAGUGUAAAAAAGACACCUUUAACCAUCACCAGCCUUCAAUUCAUUCUUAAUUACAUGAAAAAGUGAUAUUUUUUAAAGAUUUUUCUGAUGGAAAGAUAUUUUCAAGGACAACCCUUUUUUGGAGAUCCAAAUGUAGUUACAUCUACACACUGAUGAAUUUGAAGUGGUAAACCAUUUAGGUUCCAAAUGAACUGUUCAUAAACUCACAGGAAAUCUAGAACCAAAAUUCUAGAGUCUAGAAAACAAGUCUCAACUGAGACAUAUACAUUUAUGCAUACUUGUGAGACAUCAGCUUCUUCAGAGAUACUGUUUUAAGGACAUUCUGCAUGCUCUCAUUCAUGAUCAGAGGAAGCUCUACACAGAUGGACUUUUGAUCAGUGUGAAUGGAAAAGAAAUCUGUUUUGGCUACGAUCUCCGCUGAUAAUUUGUCUGCUCACAACUUGACUGUAUUUACUAGUUGUUUCAGCAGUGUGCUUGUAUGCAGAUUUUGUAAGACCACAUAUCAAGAUUUAAAAUCUCUUGUUAAUGAAGACAACGUCAUCAUUCGAUCUUCAGAAGUUCACAAGUACGAUCUAAGUGCACUCAGGGAGAUAGGAGAGAUCUCAAAACAGACAUAUGGUGUAAUGAAUGCCCCUUUAAUGAAUUAGAAUACUUUGACAUCACAAAAGCAUUUCCACCAAAUUUAUUUCAUGAUUUCUUGGAGGGCAUUGUAACAUCAAUUCUGAAUUGGAAGUGUUUCAGAUCGGAAAGAAUGACAAAGGUAAAAGUUACCACAAAGUGUUUUGAAACAGACCAGAUUGUUCAGCAGCUCAAAACUGGUGCCUUUUUAGAAUAUUACCAUUCCUCACUGGGCAUUACGUCCCAGAAGGCAACGCAACUUUCUGUGUGUCUGAAGUGCAGAGAUCAUUUUGUCCCCCCGCAUAAAAAAAGACAUUGCUUUUCUUCAAAUAGGAGAAUUUCUCUCAGAUUUCCAAGCCCUGUUUCCAGAUAUUUUUUAACACUAUAUACACUCCUCAUAGCAGACUUUGGACCUUUGAAGACCCUGUGGUGCAUGAGGUUUGAAGGCAAACACCAGUAUUUUAAAAGAACACUUGCAACUUCAGAAGCCUGUGUUACGCCCUCUGAUGAUGAGAAGAGACACCACGUGAUGAUGAUGAUGAUGUAUUCAUCACUCUUUAUCACAGUGUUGAUUUAUAAAGGUAUUUUUUCCUAAUGUCCUGAUUUCCUGAUGGAAUUAUCUAGGACUGUUUAUUAUUUCUUUCAAACAGAGCAGCAGAUUGAUGGGGAAACCAUGUUGGGCUCAACAGAAAGGAUGGUAAACAAACUAUUCCCCACAAUAAAACAGCAAGUCAUAUUUUUAAAGGAUCUUGAAAGACUGAAGAGAACUUCUUCAGUGGAACAAGAAACCGGUGUGGAAACAGUCUUGGAGUUUCAAAUGCAGUGCACUCAGACAAGAUGCCGCCGAUGAGUCCUGCUGACUCUUCACUUUCUCAAGUCUCUUCAAACUGUUUUUCUCUGAGAGCGCUGUACCAGUAAAAGCAAGCGUCUACAUUAACAUGAACAUAAAAUGAAAAGGCAAACACAUCGGAAAUGACAGGUGUGAAACAUCAUUAUUCAUGAUCAUUCAUGCCCUCUCCCCGCAUACAGGCCUCUGACACAAAACAUGUCUUACGAAUUUUAAAUCAAUAUAUUGUUUUAUGUGAAAGAGUGGGCAAGAUGAUUUUCACAUUGUUUUGAAGCAAAAAUUCUAGGCUACAAGAUACAUUUACAUACAACAUACAUUAAAAGUCUUGUGAAAAAUGAUUCAGUAUGGGUUCUAUGGCCUUAUUUCAGUGACUUGACUGUUGUUGUUUUUUGUUUUCUUUUCCACAAACCAUACAUAAAUAUAAUUUUCUCAAAACUACAAACUUUUACAUACAUGCUGCUCACAUAUUAUUGUAGCAGAUUUUGUGCUGAAUACAGUGUAAUCAGACUUCAGCUGUGAAAAUGUUAUAAGUAAGAGAAAUAAGCACAAAUGUCAGGGCAUAUCAAAACACCUCAGACCUCUGAGGA